rnacentral:rRNA from 1 species
GAGUUCAAGAGUACGUGAAACUGUGUGGUGGUAAACGGAGGGGUUCUCGAAGUUUCUGUGGGGAACUCAGCCUUAGUUGAUGCGUGGCCCUGUUGUAUCUGAUCAGCAAUGACUGUGCAGCUUGUCCGGCGUGUCUCUCGGGUGCAUUUCCCCCGCAGUUUACGACAGGAACUGUUUGGAGCGCACCAAAGGCCUCGGGUGAAGUUGUUGGUUCUGCCGGCAGCCCUGGGUGUCCUGGCUUCGCACCAGACAGGUACGUGAGAAGACUCGUAUAGCGAGCAAUGCUCUGUUGCGGUUUUCAUCUCUCUGUCGAGUAGGUCGGCGGCCCCUCCGACCCGUCUUGAAACACGGAC